GACGAACGCUGGCGGCGUGCUUAACACAUGCAAGUCGAACGGAAAGGCCCUGCUUGAAAGGUGCUCGAGUGGAAAACGGGUAAGUAACACGUGGGUGAUAUGCCCAUUACUUUGGGAUAAGCCUGGGAAACUGGGUCUAAUACUGGAUAGGACCAUGCUGUAGGUGGUGUGGUGGAAAGAUUAGUUUCGGUAAGGGAUGAGCUCGCGGCCUAUCAGCUUGUUGGUGGGGUAAUGGCCUACCAAGGCGUCGACGGGUAGCCGGCCUGAGAGGGUGGACGGCCACAUUGGGACUGAGAUACGGCCCAGACUCCUACGGGAGGCAGCAGUGGUGAAUAUUGCACAAUGGGCGCAAGCCUGAUGCAGCGACGCCGCGUGGGGGAUGACGGCCUUCGGGUUGUAAAUGCCUUUCAGCCAUGACGAAGCCCUUGUGGUGACGGUAGUGGUAGAAGAAGCACCGGCUAACUACGUG
rnacentral:rRNA from 1 species